AUCAGUGUUUGAUGAUCCAACUGCUGAGAUCCAAGAACUGACAUCUGUAAUAAAGCAAGACAUUACUGCACUUAAUUCUGCUGUAGUGGACCUCCAACUGCUUUGUAAUUCACAAAAUGAAAGUGGGAAUAUCUCCAGUGACACCACAACCCAUUCAACAACAGUUGUAGAUAACCUAAAGAAUCGACUAAUGAGCACCACUAAAGAGUUUAAAGAAGUCCUCACCAUGCGAACAGAGGUAGUUUGAAUGUUGUGGUACAACAUUGUUGUUUUAGAAUGUGGUAGGACAUUGUCUUUGUGUUAUUGCCAUGUCUAAAUUGUGGGAUUCUUGUAUUCAUGCAGAACAUCAAGGUUCAUGAGAAUAGAAGGCAAUUGUUUUCUUCAAAUGCUUCAAAAGACUCUACAAAUCCUUUUAUUCGCCAGCGACCACUGGCUACUAGAUCAACAUCUACUUCAUCAUCAGGUCCUCCCCCCUGGGCUAAUGGUCCCACAUCAUCAUCCCAGUUAUUUCCGAGGUAUAAACCCUACCAAGCCUUCUUCUUCUUUUUCUUUUUCCUAUUUUUUGGGAGGGUUGGGAGUGGGGGAUACUCAUGCUAUCAACAUUCUAUCUUGUUUUUGUUAUUGCUUGUAGAAGGGGGACAGAAACAUGUUUUGCCACUUGCUAUAUGUGGAACGACUGUAUAUGGCUCUAUGUAAAAACUUAAAUGAUUAUUGCGUUUUUUAGCUUAAAACCGUCUAUGUAAGAUCUUCCAUGCUUGUUACCUGUUUGAAGUGUGCAAAAGAAGGAAAGAGCAAACUGAAACAUUGUUUACCAUUUUGGAUGGUGAUGCCUUAUUUCUGGUUGCUAGGAUUAGUGACUAUUUUUAGUAUGAUCAUAGAGUAGUUCAGUUUUUGUCCGCAGCUUUCUGGUAGCAAGUCUUUUGACAACUUUGGAAACAUUAGUUUUCACUUGUGAUUAAUUGGUUAUUUCGUUUUAAAUUGUGACUGUAAAUUCUCACUGAAUAAGAAUUAGGUGUUUCCAAUUGACAUCUUUGACUUUAAGAACAGGAGCAGAAAAAAAAGUUUCCUACCUUUUAUCUUAUUUCUUGUUUUUUUCUUCGCAGCAAGCUGGCAGAUGGGGACUCUCAGCCUUUAUUACAGCAGCAGCAUCAACAGCAACAGCACCAGCAGUUGGUUCCCCUGCAAGAUAGUUACAUGCAGAGUCGAGCUGAAGCUCUUCAUAACGUGGAGUCAACAAUUCAUGAACUUAGCAAUAUCUUCACACAGCUAGCAACCAUGGUUUCUCAACAAGGGGAGCUUGCAAUCAGGUUUAUCUAUCAUCUCAAUUGUUUCUUAAUUUUCCCAAUACCAAAAGAAAUGCUUGAAAUUGUAUAGGAAUUUAAGCUAACUUCUGGUUCUUACAUAUGAUAGGAUUUUCCUUAUUACUAUUACUGGUUCCUGAACUCUGAAAGCAAAAGGAAUGGUAUAUUAAACUGUAGAUUAUUGUGUUUACUUUGGAGUGUUGAAGAUUAAGAUGCUGCCCGCAAUUUCUUUUUAAAUUACGGGCUCAUUAACAGCAUACUUCCAUAACACCUUUGGUGAAAUAACAGCACUUUGAAUGCAUAAUGAGAAAUAUAAUGAUUUAGAAACUCUCUUUCUAAGUUUCUACUUGGUCACAUCUGCACGCUACUUUCACAUUUUGGCAUGAUUUCGUCCAGAUCGUUUCAAUUGUUAACCUGUUGGAUUAAAUAGAGUGAAAGCAUGUGUGAUAUGCUGAUCAAAGGCAUGCAGAAGGCUCAUAUUUGUAGUAAAAGACUUUGGACCUUGCAUGUCUACAAUAAACCUCUUUUUGUUUGGUCAAAACUCAAAAUUAUGGUAGGAAAGUAGCUUAGUUCAAAUUUAUUGUGUUUUUUUUAAAUUGAUGUAUGAGGAUUUGAGCUUAUUAGAUUACGCUGCUUUGGUUGGUAGGAUUGACGAGAACAUGGAUGAGUCACUGGCAAAUGUGGAGGGGGCACAGAGCCAGUUGGUCCGAUACCUUAACAGUAUUUCAUCCAACCGUUGGCUGAUGAUCAAGAUAUUCUUUAUAUUGAUUGUAUUCCUCAUGUUUUUCUUAUUUUUUGUGGCAUAAAUAUAUUGAAGGAAAUAGAAAAUUAAAGGAUAUAUGAGUUCUCUCUCUCAAUAUAUAUAUAUGCAAUCUCAGGGUACUUUCACCCCCAUUUUUGAGUAGUAAAGCCUUCUGCCAAUAAACUUCAGUUGCUAAAAAUGCAACUGGGGAAUUUGGUCUCCCCCAUGAAAAUGCUAAAAGGAUUGAACAGGUUUGGAAAGCCAAAAUAUGAAUUGGAUUUAACAGGUUUGGAAGUUGAUAGUAGGCUAACUCCAGUGAAGGAUGUAAAAUUCCAACUAGAAAGAUGGCUUGUUCCCAACCCUGAAGCAACUGAUACGGGAGAGUUGCCUGAAAGUGUUAAUUAUGCUUGCAGUUGCAGCUUACCAGACUGUCCUGCUUUGGGUUACGGUUCCUCCUGUAAUCACUGAACUGCUUAAGGAAAUGCAUCUUAUGCUUUCAACAUGUACUAUAAGGUUAAUAACCAGCACCUUUGGGACCGUGAUUUCUCUGGUCUGGCUAUAGUCACUGAUGAGACUCCAAGAAAGUUCAGUUCCCAGUCAUGAUAGAAUUAGCUUAUCGUUGUUCCAUGCUUCUUCAUGGUAAUCUUCUGGAUAUUUUACUGAGAAUUGUUGGAGUAUUUGUUCUAUCAUUUUCGUAUCUGUUAUGAUAUUAUGAUCUUAGUAAAAAUGAAUUUCUAUGCAAAAACAUGGACAUUAUAUUCUGUUAUCAUCUCGUAAAUGCGAAUAGUGAUAGUAAUAGAAUAUUUUUAGUUACUUCAAAAUUAUAAUAUGUGAUACGUUGUCUGAAAUUAUUAUCGUGUAAAUAUAAAUGUACGAUGACCUUCAUUUUUAAAUAUGAUAAGAGUGUCACGCUUUGAUUAUUAUGUCCAACUAGAACUAACACCAUAAAAUUAACUAAUAUAACAUUGGUAAAGAAAAAAUGAAUAUUGACGCCUAUUUACAAGUUUUAAUAAACCAGCAGGAUAUAAGUUCCAAGUUUAAAUUUCUUUUUUUUUUUUUAAUUAAUUUAAUUUUCAUAUUUUUAUUAAAAAUUAAUUUAAAGAUAAUUAAUAAUAAUAUUAAAAUUUUGUCAUUUAAAAAUUCAGUCAUACUUGCCGACUUUGAAGUUUUUGUCGCGUAACAUACAUUAUUACAAAAAAAAAAGCUUUUAUUAACAGAAAAAUACAAUGUUUUAUUUUUGAUUUAAAAUGAUUAAUUAUUAUUUUAUUAAAAAAAUAUGAUUUUUUAAAAUUAAUACGUACCAUGUAACUCAAAAAACUAUAUGUUGUCAUCAUUAAAAUGUGACCUUAUCUAAAUUAAAUGUAAGAAUCAAAUUCAAACCACCGUGUUGUGUUGAUACGACACCGUACGGAACCUAUGUGACCCAAACCCGAACUGAUAAUUGGUAGAUCUGCUGGAUGGUUCUUAGUUCUUUCUUGUUCUCUGCAAUUCUUGCUUGCGGGGAGCAGCUGGAUCCGAUCUCUUCUCUUAAUCUUUACCAUUUUCCUUAUUUCUUCACAAACGACGAGGUGCGCCCUUCCCAAAUCACACCUUCACCAAUCUCUUUAAUUUACGGUUUCAGAUUUGCUCAAUUCAUUUUCAGAUUUUCACAAAAUUUUCCUCCCUCGUGCCUUUAAAAUGGUUAGAAUUAUCAAAGAAACGUGUUGAAAUUCCUCGAACUUUUCUCUUUUUAUGAAACAUUAAUUGUCUGGUAAAUACAAUUGUACAAAAAAAAUGCCUGUGAAAUCUGGGCAAUCGUCGUGUCGGGACCGAACGCAGGAGUUUCUGAGCGUUGCGGAAAGGCUAAAAAAGACAAUUUCGUCGGUCAAUAAUGCGUCGUUGAGUAAUAGCAGCGGUAGCGUUGGCGCCAAGCCCGAGAAUCGGAGAUCUGCCGUGGCGAUUCAGUCGGAGUUCAACAAAAGGGCCUCAAAGAUUGGGUUCGGUAUCCACCAGACAUCCCAGAAGCUAGCUAAGCUCGCAAAAUGUGAGUUGAUACAAUUUAUAGAAUUUUAUACUUCAUCUGUUUAUUUGCUUUUCUGUAAUUAAUUGUUUGAAUGUCUCUUUGAAAUUUUUUUUACCUGGGAGAAAUUAGCUCAUUUGCAUUCUUAAUGAGGAAGUUAGGGCAGAGGAAUUACCAAGUUCUGAUUGAAUUUGUAUUUGUGAAUUAUUUACUCUUUUUUUAAUUUUUCAGGAAUAGAAAGGUUUUUGGGGUUUUGUGAGGUUUCCCGGGUUGACAGUGCUGUUGUCUGGAAUGAAACUAGUAUUCGCCUAGUUGUUAUGUGAUGCAUUAUCAUAUGGGGCGAUAGAUUAUGUCGGUUUGCAGUGUGGUUUUAGUCUUUGCUUUAGGGUAAGAUGAUUAUAAUAGUAGUGAUGCAGAUGGAGUUGUGAAAAUGGUGGCGAAUUAUCUUGUAUGUUUGACAGCUAUGGUGUGAUGUGGUGAUGACUGCAACAUUGAGUGCUUGGUGUGUUUCUAUCAUGGUUAUGACUUUAGGUUUUUUUAUAUAAUGCAUGCAGUGAAUAUGGGCUAAUGGAGGUGAGUGUCUCACGUGUUGACAUGCUUUCGUUAUAAAUAGAUGGAAAAAAAAACUAUACAACUUAUGCUGAAAGCUAUAAAAGUAUCAUUUUUGUAAAAUUAGUUAUAUUCCUAUAACCAAGCAUAGAGCAGGAAGCCAUAAACUUGAUUUUAGAACAUGCAGCAACUCCCUGAGUCAUGAUAGAUUUAACCAAACGCUAUUAGAUUGUGAGUUGACACGUUGCACAAGCAUUGUUUUUGAUAUUUUAUGAACUAAAUCUAGCUGAAUGUUUGGCAAAAGGGUCUUACGCUCGCUUGAUGUCUUGAGUUGUUCUGAUGUUUCAGACCUUAGAUGGUUUGUGGAGGAGUGUCCUCUGAAGAGGGUACAUUUGGCCUUAAACUAAAGAAUGUAAUGAGGACUUGUUCCAUGAAUUAUUGAAGGCAUAAUGAUUAAACACAAUUCUGUUGCACUGAUGUUAUUUAAGAAUUGUACUGUAUGGUCAUUCUGUGCAUAGGCUAGCUUAAAUUUUGGUUGAAUAAAGGCUUCAGUAUAUUGUUACUGCUGAUUUCUAUUUGUACAUGUGAGAUCAUGUAGCGAUGCUGGCUAAUAAGAAGAAUUGAUUUCAGUUUGAGUGCUUGGGUUUCAAUUGGAUUUUAAUAGAAAAUGACUGUUAGAUUUGUUACUUGGUUGAUAAUUUCAAAUUGAAAUUAAUACUUAGGCAGGUAUUAUUUGUAUCAUUUUGUUGGUAAACUCAUGAUUCAUACCCAUGUUGAAGCUAAAUUUAUUGCAUGCAACAAAAAAAAUUCCAAGAUGUCUAACAUAUCAAGUUGAUCUGGUCAAUCAUAACUUUGCACCUGUUAAUGAAUGAGAUUAGCUUAAGACUACAAGCAACAGUUUACACUGUCGGAUCAUUUCCUUUUCAAUCACCAUAGCUUUUCCUUCGAUGUAGUUGUAAUUGCACCAAUUACUAUUGCAGUUCUUUGGAUUUUUACAUGUAAACUUCUCUGUGCUUAUUUAUGGAAUGGCAUUUUCUUACAUUCCAUUUCCUUAAGUUACUGAAAAUUGCUUCAUAUGGGCCCAUCUUUUUUUAAGUAUUGUCCCAGACAAUUGAAUACCAGAAUAAACUCCUGUGGAGAUACAUUACUUUUUGGGGUCUUAUUGGCUUGAAGGCUUGUUGCAAUUGUUUUUACAAGUGUUGCUACUUGCAUUGUUUUGUUCUGUUUAUGUUCUCAAUAUCAUCAUGUUAUUGAUCCAUUUUCCACAUAUGAUCAUGUAUUGCUUUGUUGCUUUAUACGAAGACUCCAAAUAUUGGAAUUCAGUGCUUCUAAAUACUGCAGAGAGUGCUAACCGUCAUGGGAACGAAAUUAUUUUGUGAUUAUGAUAGAAGUUAAACAGUAUUGUUUACUUUGAAGUAUUAUUUUUGUGUUCCCAGUGGCAAAGAGAACAUCUGUGUUUGAUGAUCCAACUGCUGAGAUCCAAGAACUGACAUCUGUAAUAAAGCAAGAUAUUACUGCACUUAAUUCUGCUGUAGUGGACCUCCAACUGCUUUGCAACUCACAAAAUGAAAGUGGAAAUAUCUCCAGUGACACCACAACCCAUUCAACCACAGUUGUAGAUAACCUAAAGAAUCGACUAAUGAGCACCACUAAAGAGUUUAAAGAAGUCCUCACCAUGCGAACAGAG
rnacentral:lncRNA from 1 species